UGAACGCUGGCGGCAUGCUUUACACAUGCAAGUCGAACGGUAACAGGCCUUCGGGUGCUGACGAGUGGCGAACGGGUGAGUAAUGCAUCGGAACGUACCCAGAGGUGGGGGAUAACGCAGCGAAAGCUGUGCUAAUACCGCAUGUGAUCUGAGGAUGAAAGCGGGGGACCGAGCAGCAAUGUUUGGCCUCGCGCCUUUGGAGCGGCCGAUGUCGGAUUAGCUAGUUGGUGGGGUAAAGGCCUACCAAGGCGACGAUCCGUAGCUGGUCUGAGAGGACGACCAGCCACACUGGGACUGAGACACGGCCCAGACUCCUACGGGAGGCAGCAGUGGGGAAUUUUGGACAAUGGGCGCAAGCCUGAUCCAGCAAUGCCGCGUGCGGGAAGAAGGCCUUCGGGUUGUAAACCGCUUUUGGCAGGAACGAAACGGUGUCCGCUAAUACCGGGCGCUAAUGACGGUACCUGCAGAAUAAGCACCGGCUAACUACGU
rnacentral:rRNA from 1 species